GAACGAAGGCAAAUGGGAAGAGUAACUAGUGAUGACUUCAGGGGACAGCACCAUACCGGACUUUGUCCUACCUUUGAGAUGAGGUCCUACUCUAUAGUCCUGGCUGGCCCAGAACAUGUGAGGCUCCUCUUGAUUCUGCCUCCAGGGAGCUCUGAGAAAAGGGCCCAUCCCGUGCAGUAAGGCCCUGGGAGAAACUUCCUUGUGGUCUCUCUUGUUUUACCAGGGUUCUGUCCCUCUCAGAGGAAUCAUUGGAUUCAGCCUGAACGGAGAGGACACUCCAACGGUGUCACACAUGGAUGGGACAGCCCAGCCCUGGUUGGCCUGUGACAGUUUCCUUGGGGGCUGGAGGACUCACAUCUGGGAAGGGCAGAGUCCCCAAGGGCAGAGCUGAGAAAUGGACCUGUUUCCUGCCACCCAAUUUCCACUCGGCAGUGUGAUUUCUCUUUGUGUUUUCCAUAGUCUACCAUUUACACUGCUGCCACACCAUCCACAUUUUGGUAAACGUUUCUCGUG
rnacentral:lncRNA from 1 species